UUAAGUUCAGCGGGUAUCCCUACCUGAUCCGAGGUCAAAAGUGUUAAAAUAGGCUUACUGGACGCUAGUGAUUAUCAGCAAGAAUCGCAAAAUGUGCUGCGCUUCAAGACCAAUACACUGGCUGCCAAUGUCUUUAAGGCGAGUCCAAUCGCAAAGGAGAGGACAAACACCCAACACCAAGCAUAGCUUGAGGGUACAAA
rnacentral:misc_RNA from 1 species